GCUCAGUUGGUAGAGCGUGAGACUGUUAACCUUAAGGUCGCAGUUUCGAGCCCUGC
rnacentral:tRNA from 1 species